CUUUCCUGUUGAUGAAAUACUCCGACGAUUAAUCACUAGAUCGGAGAAGGAGAACAAUCGUUUGUGCAUAAAAUCCAUGAAAUAACUGAUUAAAUAGAAACAAAGAUUCAGAAUCAAAUUUCUUUUGGAAUAAAAAUGGUGAAAGGAAAAAUGAAUCCCCCUAGAAAAGAUGAUACAAUUACAGGUACUAA